AUUGAACGCUGGCGGCAGGCCUAACACAUGCAAGUCGAACGAGUGGCGGACGGGUGAGUAAUGUCUGGGAAACUGCCUGAUGGAGGGGGAUAACUACUGGAAACGGUAGCUAAUACCGCAUACCAUCGGAUGUGCCCAGAUGGGAUUAGCUAGUAGGUGGGGUAAAGGCUCACCUAGGCGACGAUCCCUAGCUGGUCUGAGAGGGUGACCAGCCAAACGGGAACUGGGAAACGGUCCAAACUCCUACGGGAGGCAGGAGUGGGGAAUAGUGGCAAAGGGGCGGAAGCCUGAUGCAGCCAUGCCGCGUGUAUGAAGAAGGCCUUCGGGUUGUAAAGUACGUUCAGCGGGGAGGCGUUACCCGCAGAAGAAGCACCGGCUAACUCCGUGCCAGCAGCCGCGGUAAUUC
rnacentral:rRNA from 1 species